GGGCCAUAGCUCAGUGGGAGAGCAUGUGCCUGGCAUGCAGAAGGUGAAAGGUGCAAUACCUGUCAUCUCCA